AGCAGGUUAGCCAUGGUAGCACUCUCUUUGUUCCUGGUCUUGUCUCUCUUAAUAGGAGAAUCUGUUGGGAAUGCCAUCACAUCAUCACAUUCUUCACUGGUCGUCACUGAGGGAGAAAGUGUCACUCUCUCCUGUAACUACAGUGGUAGCACUGGCAAUACUUUACAGUGGUAUCGGCAGUAUCCCAACUCCAUCCCAGAGUUCCUCUACCUCAUGUUUGAGAGUGGCUCCCCUACAGGUUCAGUUCCCCGUCUGACUCCCUCCAUAGAUAAAGAGGCAAAGCGUGUGUUUCUGGAGCUCUCCUCUGCAGAGGCGUCUGACUCUGCUGUGUACUACUGCGCCCUGGUGCCCACAGUGACAGGAACUCAGACUCUGCUGUGCAAAAACCUCUCAGAUGCAGAGGAGUUUCACAAAGAUCUAUCUGCUGGAAAUGUCCAUUUCAGUAAUGGCAAAACAAUCAUCCUCAUUCUAUAAUAACAGACGACACAAAGACAGCUUCUUCUCCCAAGCUGUCACUCUGUUGAACACUCAGAAAUAACCCUUACACCGAACAAAGUGAAUCAACCUGUU